rnacentral:rRNA from 1 species
CCUACGGGAGGCAGCAGUGGGGAAUAUUGGGCAAUGGGCGCAAGCCUGACCCAGCAACGCCGCGUGAAGGAAGAAGGAUUUCGGGUUGUAAACUUCUGUUCUCAGGGACGAAGAAAGUGACGGUAACUGAGGAAUAAGCCACGGCUAACUACGUGCCAGCAGCCGCGGAAAUACGUAGGUGGCAAGCGUUAUCCGGAUUUACUGGGUGUAAAGGGCGUGUAGGCGGGGAAGCAAGUCAGAUGUGAAAACCACGGGCUCAACCUGGGGCGUGCAUUGGAAACUGUUUUUCUUGAGUACUGGAGAGGCAGAUGGAAUUCCUAGUGUAGCGGUGAAAUGCGUAGAUAUUAGGAGGAACACCAGUGGCGAAGGCGGUCUGCUGGACAGCAACUGACGCUGAGGCGCGAAAGCGUGGGGAGCAAACAGGAUUAGAUACCCUUGUAGUC